AUAAAAAUGACGCUGUCUCCAAGGUGGAAGUUUUGAGGAAGCCUUUCAUCUCCAAAGCUCUAGAACUGCCACCUUGGAGACGGCAUCAUUUUUAU